GGGGGGGAGGGGACGGGGUGGAGGGGGAAUUACCAUUAGCAGUUGAAGUGGCAGGAAAUUUUUACAUAGGAGAGUAUGGUGAUCAUAUUUGCAUUUUAGAAAAUAAUGGAUAGCAGUUUGUUAGGGGAACAAAGGACAGAGACAGGGAGACUAUUUAAAACAUUAAUAAAAAAUACCCGUGACAGAUGAUGAGGCAUCUACCUGAUGGGAAUGGAGAAGAGGAGAUGGAUUCAGAAACUACUUAGGAGAGGCAGGCAGUCCAAGGCUGAUGCCCAAAGAAGCCAUCAAGACCCGUGCUACUUCCAGCUCCUUCUGUCCUCAUAAUCAUAGAUGAUUGCUCCACAUCCAGCACCUAACACCAGUACUCAGUUAAAUUUUUUGCUGAAUAAAUCAAUGAAUGGAGAGGUAAAGAGGAACCAGAAGUUGGGGUUACAGAAGUCACUGAUGGAAGAGUUUCAAGAUAGUAGAAGUGGUCAGCCCUGUUAAGUGACAAGCCAAGGACUGAAGAAAGACUGGCAGAUUUGGCAAUCAGAUGAAGUGACCUGACCAAAGAGCAGCUUGUGUGAAGUAGUGAGGACAGGCGCUGGUCUGCGACUGGUUUAGGAGGAAAUGGAAAUGAGGAAGAAGAGAUAGGAAAGUGGAGAUUAUAUGAUGACAAGUAUCAAGAUAAAAAUGAACACAUUUGGCCUGCUACCUGAAUUUUUUAAAUCGGCUCACCAAAAAAUAUCAGGCUUAUUGAAAUAUUGGAA